rnacentral:rRNA from 1 species
UACGAAGGGGGCUAGCGUUGCUCGGAAUCACUGGGCAUAAAGGGUGCGUAGGCGGGUUUUAAGUCAGGGGUGAAAUCCUGGAGCUCAACUCCAGAACUGCCUUUGAUACUGAAGAUCUUGAGUCCGGGAGAGGUGAGUGGAACUGCGAGUGUAGAGGUGAAAUCGUAGAUAUUCGCAAGAACACCAGUGGCGAAGGCGGCUCACUGGCCCGGUACUGACGCUGAGGCGCGAAAGCGUGGGAGCAAACAGG